GACGAACGCUGGCGGCGUGCUUAACACAUGCAAGUCGAGCGGAGCGGCGAACGGGUGAGUAACGCGUGAGUAACUGCCCCCCUCUCUGGGAUAACAGUUGGAAACGGCUGCUAAUACCGGAUAGCGGGGGAUGACUCUCGUCCUAUCAGCUUGUUGGUGGGGUAGUGCCCUACCAAGGCGACGACGGGUAGCCGGCCUGAGAGGGGGACCGGCCACAUUGGGCUUAGAGACGGCCCAAAGUCCAACGGGGGGCAGCAGUAGGGAAUAUUGCACAGUGGGGGAAACCCUGAUGCAGAAGCGCCGCGUGCGGAAUGACGGCCUUCGGGUUGUAAACCGCUUGCAGCCAUGACGCGGUAGUGGCAGAAGAAGCACCGGCUAACUACGUGCCAGCAGCCGCGGUAAUAC
rnacentral:rRNA from 1 species